GACGAACGCUGGCGGCGUGCUUAACACAUGCAAGUCGAACGGAAAGGCCCUGCUUUUGUGGGGUGCUCGAGUGGCGAACGGGUGAGUAACACGUGAGUAACCUGCCCUUGACUUUGGUAUAACUUCAGGAAACUGGGGCUAAUACCGGAUAGGAGCUCCUGCUGCAUGGUGGGGGUUGGAAAGUUUCGGCGGUUGGGGAUGGACUCGCGGCUUAUCAGCUUGUUGGUGGGGUAGUGGCUUACCAAGGCUUUGACGGGUAGCCGGCCUGAGAGGGUGACCGGCCACAUUGGGACUGAGAUACGGCCCAGACUCCUACGGGAGGCAGCAGUGGGGAAUAUUGCACAAUGGGCGGAAGCCUGAUGCAGCAACGCCGCGUGCGGGAUGACGGCCUUCGGGUUGUAAACCGCUUUCGCCUGUGACGAAGCGUGAGUGACGGUAAUGAGUAAAGAAGCACCGGCUAACUACGUG
rnacentral:rRNA from 1 species